rnacentral:rRNA from 1 species
UGACGUCAAAUCAUCAUGCCCCUUAUGACCUGGGCUACACACGUGCUAUAAUGGUUGGUACAACGAGUUGCGAGUCGGUGACGGCGAGCUAAUCUCUUAAAGCCAAUCUCAGUUCGGAUUGUAGGCUGCAACUCGCCUACAUGAAGUCGGAAUCGCUAGUAAUCGCGGAUCAGCACGCCGCGGUGAAUACGUUCCCCGGGCCUU